rnacentral:rRNA from 1 species
AGAACGAACGCUGGCGGCAGGCCUCAAACAUGCAAGUCUAGGGGGUGUAGCAAUACAUCACCGGCGGACGGGUGCGUAACGCGUGGGAAUGUACCUAUUGGUUCGGAACAACUGAGGGAAACUUCAGCUAAUACCGGAUGAGCCCGAAAGGGGAAAGAUUUCUCGCCAAUAGAUCAGCCCGCGUCCGAUUAGCUAGUUGGUGUAGGUAAUGGCUCACCAAGGCAACGAUCGAUAGGGGGUCUGAGAGGAUGAUCCCCCACACUGGUACUGAGAUACGGACCAGACUCCUACGGGAGGCAGCAGUAGGGAAUAUUGGUCAAUGGGCGCAAGCCUGAACCCAGCCAUGCCGCGUGCAGGAAGACGGCCCUCUGGGUUGUAAACUGCUUUUGAUAGGGAACAAUGCCACUUGCGAGUGGAGCUGAGCGUACCUAUAGAAUAGCACCGGCUAACUCCGUGCCAGCAGCCGCGGU